GGAGACUGGAACAACCUCCAGGAAGUGAUGCAGAGUGAGAGGAGCAGAACUAGGAGAACAUUGUACACAGAGCCUGAUACACGGUGAUAUAAUCAAAUGUAAUUCUCCAUUAGUGGCAAUGCAGUGAUCCUGAACAACCCGGAGGGAUUUACGAGAAAGAACACUAUCAGAGGAAAAACUAUCUGCAGGAUUUGAGUCAGAAUUAUCCAUCAAAGAAGUAUAAGAACUGGAGUGGCCAUGAUCAUCCACCAUAGCUGUUAUGUAAAAUUCAACAAAGCAUUUUUUUACAGCAAAUUAAAGUUGAAGUAAAGCAUGUAAUUUAAGGGACAAACUGGUCUACUCGUCAUGAACAUACAUCCUAUACUUACCUGCUUUCCCUCUGUUCAUAACUGUACCCAAUGGCUGGACAAUUCUCUUAAUUUCUAACCAUCCUUUAAAGCCCAAUCCAAGGGUCAUGUUGUCAUGAGCACUGUACCCCCAGAAACUCAUGGCAAACUAUUAUCAGGGAAAAUCCUCUGCUCCCUUAGGCCCUCAUGACCCCCAACCCAAAACACCAGACCUGGAAGAUGACCUUCCUUUGAUUGCCCCAUAGAAUUGAAAUGGACAAAGAGACACACUUCAUUCAUUCAUCCUCCAAAUCAGGAGAACCACCCAUGCCCGGGGGCUAACCUCCCCUCCCCAACUCCUUGCUCCAGAAGCAAGUCUUCUUAUCGAAGAAUAGGAAAACCCCAGAACACAGACAUUCUGGGAGCCAACUCCCAGGUUGCUCUACUCAUGCUGUCUUGCUGGCCAAAAAGUCAUUAACUAAUAAAUCUCUCUCGAGUCAUAUAUCGUUGCAAAAGUUAUCCUUCCUGAACCCCAGGGGUACACCCCUACACCCCACGGAUCAUGCAUAAGGGCACAGCUUCUCAGGUAGGAAGGAGCCUUUCUUAGACUACUGAAACCCCAUUUGGGUAACAUCUUUGUAGGACCUCUUAUAUGCCCUCUCUCCCAUUGGUCCCAGAAGUCAGUCUAGUCUGGCCACUGGAUCUGGGGUCUAUCAGCUCCCCUUUUUCAUACUAGAAGACAUUCUGGUGAAGGGGAGACUCUCACCUCACUAACAUUAGUGCUAUAGGUCAGGCAACCUCUGUGGCCGUACAGUUGUUGACCCUUAGUGUGGAAUUGGCCAUUCCACAUCAAAAUGGGACAGAGACAGAACAUACCCGGAGGUUCCCCUUUGGGGUGUAUACUAAGAAGCAUGGCCUAUCCAUGGCACCCUAAAUUAUAAUAUCAUCCAAAAAUUGGACUUGUUUAGCAUAAGGAAAAGGAAAAAGACAGCACAACCUUAUAAUUCUGCAUUUAUUAAACUCAGUCUAAAUCCUGAGCUUAGGAGGGCUUGCCAUAUGCACCUUACCCACCCUUGCUGACCCCUACACCCCUUAACAAUGUCAUCCAUGGAGCUUUCCCUAAUAUCCCAACUUGGAAACAAACCCACUUUGAACCUCUUAAUGUACUUGAUCCUCACAAAAAUCCUGGAAGGUAGGUGCUAUUAUUAAUCCUCAUUUUACAGUUGUAAAAACUAAGGUUAAAAAGAGGUUAGUAACUUGCCCAGAGUCACACAAGUGGUGAAUGUCUGAGGCUGAAUUGGAUCUUAGUUCUUCUUGACUCUAGGCAUAGCAUUCUGUCCACUGGACUAUGCUGUUGUCUAGUAAUAGUUCUUUUCACCUAAAGAAUACAUGCUUAGAUGAUUAGGAAUUUUGAUAAAUCUAAAAGAAAAUACAUUUCUCAAUGCCUAUGACAACUAUAAUGAAAUAAGAAGUUGAAAUAGAGGUUAAAAUGAAGUUAAUUAAGGUAGUUAUUUGGUAGUCCCAUUGCAGCAAAGAUAAAAAAAUACCACAUUCUCUUAGAUCCACGAUGGCAAACCUUUAAAAAACAAGGAGUGCUGAGCCCCACCCAUCCCAUACUUCAAUCCUCCCCUACCCCCCACCUCAGACAGGGGCAGGUGAAGUGAAGAAUGUCUUCAGGAGCAUGGAGAAGAGAUGAGGAAUAGUUCUACCCUAAGUCCUUCUGGCUUUCUACUAAAAAACUGGAACUCUGCUAUGCAACUGCAGGUAUGUCCCCAGAGAGGGCUCACCAUCUUAAGACUUAUCUUAAGUCUAUCUUAAGACUAUCAAUAAAUUAUAUUACAUUAUUGUUA